CACACGCCUCCUGUGUACUGGGCACCGAGCUUGUGGUCUCCUCAUGGUCUAGCUCAAGUCGUCCCUCCCCCGUGAAGCAUCCCCUGGAUCCCUCAAGGAAUCACUCUUCCCCAGGAACUUCCUGCAGGGGAUGUCAAUCAUUUAGCAUCUCGCAAGUGUCCACACAUUUCCCCCUGGACUGCCAUUCAUCUUCUCGGGAACAUGCCCAACCUCUCUCACUGCUGGGAGGAAGAUCGAAGUCUCUUUCUUUUCGGAUGUGCCCCGCCCACAAGGGAUGCCCAUUCAUUGUCUUGACAACGAGGAAGGCUUAACAGAGACAACACUUUCUCCCAUCUGCGCAGAAGCACGCACAGGAUAAUUCUAUCUUCGUGAGGGUUUGUAAGGAGUAAAACGCCAGACAGGGAACUACACACUAAAUGGUCCACGCGGUCAGAGCCGAGGAAGUGCCUGAGCAUCUUCAUCCCUGGGAGACACCAGGGCACAGAGGGCGAGACUCAGCCCUGUGUCCGCUUCUCUGCUCACUACUUACUGACUGAGUGGCCUUGGACAAGUCACUUGACCUCUGCAAAACUCAGUUCCCUCAUCAGCAAAACAGGGCUAGUUUUACCUUUCUGUGUGGUUGUUAGGAUUAAACGAGACAAGAAUGACGAAGCAGUGAGAGUUCAAUAAGGGUCGGAGAUGCAGCCCCUUCCUCCGGCUCAGUGAAGAAUCCAUUUUCCACUAAGUGGUAAACACCAUAAAGGCAGGGACACCCCCACCGUGCUCAAGGUCAUGUUCCCAGUGCUUAGCACUGUGUUUGGUCUGGAGGUGUUGCAGAGGUGGGUAGGGUAGUAAGCCAGGUUAGACACCCACAUGGAGCCCAGGAAAUCCAGUGAACAGAACUAACCAGUCUCUUCUUUGUUUGGCUCUUUAUUCUGCUUCUGCCUUCCAAUUUGGGACCGCUAUAAUCCAGAAACCUGAGGAAGCCACUUCCACAGCCCCAAUUGUGUGUGAGACAGAUGUUAUGGAGGGCUGAGGGUAGCCAGGCCAAUCUAAGGCAUCACUGGUAGCCUGCCUGCCCCUGCCCAAGGGAUUCUCCAAGCUGGGGUUUAGGGACAGAACCCUGGAAGGAAAGAAAACGCUUGGGGCUGGGCCAGGCAGGGAGCUGGAAGGAGUCACUACUUCUGCCAUUAACUAGUCGUGAAACUCUGAGCCUCAGUUGCCUAGUCUGCGAAAAAAGGAGCUUAAGCCCAUCUUGCAGCUGCCUGAGGCCUGGGAAGCGGCCAGCACGUGCAUGGCACACUGCCG
rnacentral:lncRNA from 1 species